UACGGAGGGGGCAAGCGUUAUCCGGAUUCACUGGGUUUAAAGGGUGCGUAGGCGGGCAGGUAAGUCCGCGGUGAAAUCCUGGGGCUUAACCCCAGAACUGCCGUUGAUACUAUCUGUCUUGAAUAUUGUGGAGGUGAGCGGAAUAUGUCAUGUAGCGGUGAAAUGCUUAGAUAUGACAUAGAACACCAAUUGCGAAGGCAGCUCACUACGCAGUUAUUGACGCUGAGGCACGAAAGCGUGGGGAUCAAACAGG
rnacentral:rRNA from 1 species